rnacentral:lncRNA from 1 species
UAUUAAUUAAAAAUGAAGAAAAAGCUACCACUCCUUAAGCUCUUACGUCACAGGUGGCACACCUAACCGCAGUCACAGGUGGACUUUAUUAUGCAUCUAAACAGGUGUGGGCGGGGCUUCGCUUCAGUCGCCGUAUUUCCGCAGGUGCCGUGAGGAGCGAGACGCCUAAACAAAACAAACCAAAAUAAAAUAAAGUCGACAGAAGCUUAAAAGAAGAAAAAGAAACGAUGCGGUUCGUGUUCUCACUUUGGUUCAUCGUUCUUGCGGGUUUGGUUUCUCCCGUCGCCGCUUCCUCGUCUCCUGGCCUUUCAGAGGAUUCCGAAGGAUCUGGAAUUGAUGUGGAGAGUUCCGGGUCAGGAGAUUGGUCAGAUCCGGUUUCUCCUGUUGAAAACAUAGAUGAGGAGCCAGAAGAGGAUGCUCCAGGAAAGGCGCCGAUGGAUUCUGAGGAGGUGAAGCCGCCGGCGGAUAUUCAGAAGGGUACUUCUACCAAAAUGUCCACAUCUGGGUUUGUGUUUUUGGAAAACGGCAGACAUUAUCUGGAAAAAGAAGAAGUCCUGGCUGGCAUGAUUGCAGGAGUUUUAAUGGGAGCAGCGAUUGGAGCUGCGAUAGCAGGAAUAUUGAUCCACAAGUGGAAGAAAAGGGAGGACGAAGGGGGGCUUCUCGGCAAACGAGAUUUCACAUGAAAAGAUAUUACUAUAAUUUUGCCAUCAAAUGCUGCUUAACUUUUUUGUUUGUUUUUGGGGAGCUGCUGUAUAUUUUCCCCCUUUUUUCUAGAGCCAAUAUGUAAUGAAGCGUUUUGGACAAUUUUCCUCACAUUAAUAACUGACAGUACUUUGUUUUACAUGAUGUAAUGGAUGUAUAAUUUUAAAGAUAUCAGUGUAUUUUUUUUUUCCUUUUAAAAUGGGAAUUUGUUCAUCAAUAUGUGAUGUUUGAGGGGUGAUUAGAUAAAGAGAUUCAUUAUAUUUUUCUAUUUAUUUAUUUGAUGGCUUCUCCUACCUUAACUUCUGAGCAUUUUAUGUAGCAUUGAAAAUAAUUCCAAGUGAUUAAAAAAAAAACGAUAUAUGCCCUUAAAUCUAUUUAAUCCUACUUUUCAAUGCUUACUUUUUUUCCUGCAAUCAAAUUGAAACAUGAACUGGAUUUAUUCAUAUUUGUGUAAAUGUUGAGUUGUUUUGAAGGAAAAUCAGAAAAAAUUUAAGUCUAGAACUUUUAUUUUGGUAAAUAUACAUGUAUAAAGUAUAUCAAGAGACCACAUUAAACCACAAAUAUCUCAUAUUUUUUAUAUCUUCUGUAAAUAAAGUCUCUCGUGAACACAACUUUGAGCAUUGUGAUGCAUUUUAUAAGCAACUUUUCCCUAUGUUUACAAU